GGGGGCGGGGUCUGAGCAAAGAAACAAACUCUUUAAGUCUAUUCCCGAAUCUGGGACAGCCAGAGUCUAAGAAAGCCUCGAGGAGAGAGUUUGGCCUCCUUUCCAAGGUGACUAGCAGAAGGCCAGGGUGGGAGAGCUGCUCCAUCAAGAUACGGGGUUGUAACAGGGUUGAGUUCUGAUUCCUUGAGAAGAUGGUGGAAAAAACAGCGUCUGUGUUCCUUUUCACCGCGACAGCGGCCAAAUUUUCUCUGAAAUUACUGGCCACAGGGUCUGCAGUGUGGCCUGCUGCUGUGGUCUUGGGCAUUGGUAUCGUUGCCAUCUCAGGGAUCACCUUAUACUCCUCGAAUAAGAGGAAAAUGAACAAAGCAUGGUAAAAUGGAUUGAUAGAAAUCCUCUCCAGUCCCUUUAGCAGACAGGGGAGGCUCCACCUUCCUAGAGAAUGUUGUGAAGCAACAUGCCACACGGCGUUCACAUUUUGUGAACAAAGUCAACUUUUGGGCAAAAUAAAAAUUAAUUGAAUACACA